rnacentral:rRNA from 1 species
GACGAACGCUGGCGGCGUGCGUAACACAUGCAAGUCGAACGGAAAGGCCAGUUCUUGCACUGGGACGCGAGGGGCGAACGGGGGAGCAACACGAGGGUGAGCGGCCACGCACUCUGGGAUAAGCUUGUGAAACUGGGUCUAAUACCGGAUAUGAACUGUCUUUAGUGUGGUGGUUGGAAAGUUUUUUCGUUGCAAGAUGAGAUCGCGGCCUAUCAGCUUGUUGGUGGGGUAUUGGCCUACCAAGGCGUCGACGGGUAGCCGGCCUGAGAGGGUGUACGGCCACAUUGGGACUGGGAUACGGCCCAGACUCCUACGGGAGGCAGCAGUGGGGAAUAUUGCACAAUGGGCGGAAGCCUGAUGCAGCGACGCCGCGUGGGGGAUGACGGCCUUCGGGUUGUAAACUCCUUUCGACAGGGACGAAGCGUCAGUGACGGUACCUGUAGAAGAAGCGCCGGCUAACUACGUG